UACGGAGGGUGCAAGCGUUGCUCGGAAUUAUUGGGCGUAAAGGGCAGGUAGGUGGUCUCGUUUGUCAGGGGUGAAAGCCUUGGGCUUAACUCAAGAAGUGCCCCUGAAACGGCGAGACUAGAGUGCUGGAGAGGUCGGUGGAAUUCCCGGUGUAGCGGUGAAAUGCGUAGAGAUCGGGAAGAACAUCGGUGGCGAAAGCGCUCUACUGGACCGCAACUGACGACUCAGGGAGCGAAAGC
rnacentral:rRNA from 1 species